rnacentral:tRNA from 1 species
GACCGCGUAGCUCAGUUGGCAGAGCAUUGGGCUAGCAUUCCAAAGGUCGUAGGUUCGAACUAUCCCACCGUGGCCA